rnacentral:tRNA from 1 species
GCCGGAAUAGCUCAGCGGUAGAGCAGUUGAUUUGUAAUCAUCAGGUCGUCGGUUCAAUCCCGACUUCCGGCUCCA